GUGGGGAAUAUUGGACAAUGGGCGCAAGCCUGAUCCAGCCAUGCCGCGUGUGUGAUGAAGGCCUUAGGGUUGUAAAGCACUUUUGUCCGGGAAGAUAAUGACUGUACCGGAAGAAUAAGCCCCGGCUAACUUCGUGCCAGCAGCCGCGGUAAUACGAAGGGGGCUAGCGUUGCUCGGAAUCACUGGGCGUAAAGGGCGCGUAGGCGGACUUUUAAGUCGGGGGUGAAAGCCCAGGGCUCAACCCUGGAAUUGCCUUCGAUACUGAGAGUCUUGAGUUCGGAAGAGGUUGGUGGAACUGCGAGUGUAGAGGUGAAAUUCGUAGAUAUUCGCAAGAACACCAGUGGCGAAGGCGGCCAACUGGUCCGAUACUGACGCUGAGGCGCGAAAGCGUGGGGAGCAAACAGGAUUAGAAACCCGUGUAGUCC
rnacentral:rRNA from 1 species